AUAUGUGGAUACAUAUUAACAAGAGAGAUUGGUCAAAUUUCAAUAUUUACAAAACUAUUUAGUUGUAGUUAUAAGGCAUAUAAUAAUUAUGGUCUCAAUAAAAUAUAUAAGUCUUGAGAUUCAUUACGUAUGUUGGUUGAAGGAACCGCAUUUAAUAAAAGUUGAAAAUAAAUGAACCUUGUUGUCAAAUCUAUAAAAGAUAUUGUUGAAAAUCUAUAUAGGAAAAAAGAAAUAGAUUCACAAACUUAUAAUUUCUUGAGGAAUAAUAAUGAAUCAAAACACGGACACAUGUACCUUCUUCCAAAAGUUCAUAAAAUUAAUCUAGAAAUAAUUAAUGAGGCAUUCCGAACUGGUCAAAUAGUUGGAAACAUAAACAUUCCUUACCGACCAAUCAUCAAUAAGUGUAACUCUCCCACGAGACGCAUUGAAAGAUUACUGGGUCUAAUCUUAAAACCAUUAUUGAAGAGGCAUAACUUUUACAUUCAAGAUACAAAAGACUUCAUUAAUAAAAUAGAGUCACACGAGGUCACAAAAGAAUGCAUCCUUAUUGCCUAUGAUGUAACGUCGAUGUACACAACUAUGAACAUUGAUAACUUAGAAGAAACAGUUAUCAAUUCAUUAGAAUCAAUUGACACACAAGAAUAUAGUUUCAGCAGAUUUAUUGCAUCAUAUAUUUGAUGAUUAAUUGUGACCUUGGUGAACUUUGAAAUUGUCCCAAUUCUUUUUCUAUAAUGUUGUCCUUUAACUGUAGAUCAUUUACCAUUUAACAGAUUUGAGAUAUCUAUUGUCGUUUUAGAGAUAAUGCAGUUUGAAAUUUUGCGAGCGGCGGCAUGUAUUUCUGAAUCAACAACAGCUAACCACUUAAAAUGUUUAAGAAAUUGAAGAGAUUAACAUAGUUAUAUGUUUAACCAAAUACCAAAAACAUUCCAUUGAAAAAAAACACCAAAAAAUCAUUUUGAAAUUUUCAUGUUUUGCAUUGACUUUGUAAGUUUCAUAACUUCUAUUUAUACCAUUGAUAUUGCAUCAUUUUUGGCACUUUGUCAAAUGGGGUCAUCUGAUAUAUCAAAUUGAAGGUCUCAAUAAACUCUACUUAAAAAUGAAAAUUUUAAACCUCUUUUUCAUCCCAGGUGGAAGGGUGGGGUCAUUUAGUGCAAAAAUUCAAAUUUCUCAGAUGGUAAGGUUGUCGCAUAUCAAAUGAAAGAACAUAAAGCGUACAUUUCAAAUUUCAAAUUGACGUCCCCCAAAAAUUGGUUGGAUGGGGUCAUUGAGUGCAAAAAAUAAAUUUUCUUUUACGAUAGGGUUGUUGUAUAUCAAAUGAAAGGUCAUGAUGUGUACAUUUGAAAUAUCAAAUUCCCAACCUCCAAAAAUUGGUUGGAUGGGGUUAUUAAGUGCAAAAAUCAAACUUUUUAGAAAGCUCGUGAUCAUGAGGUCAUUAAGUGUAAAAAGCGAAAAGUUUCAGAAGGUAUGCUUGUCGUAUAUCAAACGAAAGGUCGUACAAAGAACAUUACGAAAACAUCACUUUUACAGGAAAGACCUUUCAAUUGUUUUACAAACAAUUGAGAUACUAGUUAUUACGAAUUUUAUUCUUUGCACAAAGAUAUGAGCAUUAUUAUGAUAUUCUGGUUCAAUGAGUUUUCCCAGAUUUUUGCCCAUUAGGACUUCGAAAUUCUGUGCAAUUCAAUGUGCACUUUGUCACCACAAGUCAAAUGACACUCCCACAAGGUGAGUUAAUGAGAGGAGCAUAUUUCAUAUUUUUAAAUGAACAUGAC
rnacentral:lncRNA from 1 species